CCUACGGGAGGCAGCAGUGGGGAAUAUUGCUCAAUGGGCGAGACCCGGAAGCAGCAACGCAGCGUGGAGGAUGAAUGUUUUCCGAGUGUAAACUCCUUUUUUUAGAGAAAUUAAUUGCGGUAUCUGACGACUACUCACCGGCUAACUCCGUUACAGCAGCCGCGGUACUACGGAGGGUGCAAGCGUUACCCGGAAUCACUGGGCGUAAAGCGCGCGUAGGCGGGAUAGCAAGUCAGAUGUGAAAUCCUAUGGCUUAACCAUAGAACUGCAUUUGAAACUGUUAUUCUAGAGUAUAGUAGAGGUAGGUGGAAUUCGUGGUGUAGGGGUAAAAUCCGUAGAGAUCAAGAAGAAUACUCAUUGCGAAGGCGACCUGCUAGAACAUAACUGACGCUGAUGCGCGAAAGCGUGGGGAGCAAACAGGAUUAGAUACCCCUGUAGUC
rnacentral:rRNA from 1 species